rnacentral:rRNA from 1 species
UCAUGGCUCAGAUUGAACGCUGGCGGUAUGCUUAACACAUGCAAGUCGAACGGUAGCAGGCCUUCGGGCGCUGACGAGUGGCGGACGGGUGAGUAACGCGUAGGAAUCUGCCUCAUAGUGGGGGACAACGUGGGGAAACUCACGCUAAUACCGCAUACGCCCUACGGGGGAAAGCGGGGAUCUUCGGACCUCGCGCUAUGAGAUGAGCCUGCGUUAGAUUAGCUAGUUGGUAGGGUAAAGGCCUACCAAGGCGACGAUCUAUAGCUGGUCUGAGAGGACGAUCAGCCACACUGGGACUGAGACACGGCCCAGACUCCUACGGGAGGCAGCAGUGGGGAAUAUUGGACAAUGGGCGCAAGCCUGAUCCAGCAAUACCGCGUGUGUGAAGAAGGCCUUAGGGUUGUAAAGCACUUUCAAUUGGGAGGAAAACCUGUCGGUCAAUACCGGCAGCUUGACAUUACCUUUAGAAGAAGCACCGG